AUGGAGGUUUUCGGUUUUCCCUACAAACAUUUCCUACCGUUUGGUUACAGCGUCUAUGAUGCCAUACCGUCUUACUAUACUAGUUCAACGAAGAUGGCCGUGGCCGGUGUCAAAGGAUGACGCCGGGAUCCAGCUGCUACACGUCAGUUUGAUCGGAGGAGGGAAAAUUUUGGUUGUGGGUGAAGAGAUAGAGAAGAGGGAGACGAUCGAAGGGGAGAAGGUGCAGGCAUUGUUGUACAGGCCAUCGUAUGAGCUGAAGACAAAAUCAUACACACUGGGAUGAUUACCUAUCACGGAUGAACACGAAGACCCCAUCUAUACUAAACAUUGACAUGUUAAUCCGUGAUAGAUAACCCAGCCCACUGUGCAUGAAUUUGUCUCCAGCCAAUCCGCAGUGGAGCCGUUCAAGUGCUCACGUAAGAGGAGCACUUAACUAGUUAUGUGCCGGCCAUCUAACAAGAAAAGGCACGUAGAAAUUUUAUAAUGAAAGCAGUAAGAGCCCUUUCUGAGUGCUGCUACCUAAGCCUUCACUGACAUGGUACGCAACAAAGCAAACUGGAGCACAAAAAUGAAUAAUUUUAAUCAGCCACUGAAUAGCCAGGCAACUAAGUCUUAGAGAGAAAUGAACGUGGAUGCGUUUGGUUAGUGAAAGAAACCAUGAUGUGGGCGCCUGCGCAUUUUAUCAAGCAACUAGAUUGCAACUUUCGGCACUUAUUAUCCUGAACCCAACCAUUCUCCUAUUUAAAACGUGGGAUAUCUAUUGAUGAAUUAAUUAACAGAGGAUUAUCUGGCUCUCAGUCUCUCACUUUUCUUGCUUUAAAAGGAGGGUGAGAACUUGUUAAUGGCAAUAGCCUCAUAGGAAAGAGAUAGCGCAGAGUAGUUAUGGCCCAUUGUAAAUGUUUCAGUACUAACUUUGGCCUUGAUUUUCUUGUUCCCUUGUGUCUCUCAUGCACAGCUCUCUGCUUCUUUCUAUGACUCUACAUGUCCCUUCCUCCUUGAUAUUGUAAAAGCCAACGUCCACUGGGCUAUAAACAGGGAUAAAAGGAUGGGAGCUUCUCUUCUUCGUCUCUUCUUCCCUGACUGCUUUGUAGUUGGUUGUGAUGCAGGUGUGCUACUUGAUGACAGCCCCCCAAGUAUUGAUAGCGAGAAGAAUGCCAUACCCAACAUGAAUUCCCUGAGAGGGUUUAAGUUUAUUGACAAGAUCAAAGAAGCUGUAGAACAGAAUGUGUAAUGGGCCCAUAGUCUCAUGUGCUGAUAUUCUCGCCAUUGCAUCACGCGACUCAGUCGUUGAGUUGGGGGGUCCUUCAUGGCCGGUGCUAAUGGGAAGGAAGGAUGCAAAGUCAGCCAACAGAAAAGCUGCAGAAGCUCUUCCAUCCCCAUUUUCAGAUCUUCAAGAUCUGGUUAAAAUUUUCAGUAAUUAGGGCUUCACGGCCAGAGAAAUGGUAGCUCUAUCUGGAGCACAUUCGAUUGGCAUGGCACGUUGUCGCUUGUUUCGUGAUCAUUUAUACAAUGGAACAAACUUGGAACCAGUGAUUGCUUCUGAAAGAAAAUCAAGGUGUCCCUCAAAUGGUGGUGAUGAUAACUUAUCUUCAAUGGACCACCAAAGUCCUAAUCGGUUUGACAACCAUUAUUUCCUGGAACUCACCAUGAGGAGGGGAUUGCUACACUCUGAUCAGGAGCUUUUCAAUGGGGGAUCUACAGAUGGCAUUGUUUUGAUCUACAGCAGAGAUGCACAGGCCUUCUACACUGACUUUGCAAACGCCAUGGUCAAGAUGGGGAACUUGAGCCCCCUCAUUGGAGAUAAAGGAGAGAUCAGGAAAAACUGUAGAAAGGUUAAUUACUGAUAAAAGUUCUCUCUGUGUCUAAUAUGUUGUGCAAUUCAUGAGAAAAUUAAGAGUGUUCUGACGGUGUACUGUUAAAGUUUACAACUAAAGAAAACUACGAGUUUUUAGCUAUUUCAA